GAUGAAGAACUUAGCGAAAUGCGAUAAGUAGUGUGAAUUGCAGAAUUCAGUGAAUCAUCGAAUCUUUGAACGCACAUUGCGCCCCCUGGUAUUCCGGGGGGCAUGCCUGUCCGAGCGUCAUUACAACCCUCAAGCUCAGCUUGGUGUUGGGCCCCGCCGCCCCGGCGGGCCCUAAAGUCAGUGGCGGUGCCGUCCGGCUCCGAGCGUAGUAAUUCUUCUCGCUCUGGAGGUCCGGUCGUGUGCUCGCCAGCAACCCCCAAUUUUUUUCAGGUUGACCUCGGAUCAGGUAGGGAUACCCGCUGAACUUAAGCAUAUCAAUAAGCGGAGGA
rnacentral:misc_RNA from 1 species